GAUUGUGAUUUCUAUGUAGUGUAUACAUAGAUAUUUAUUUUAGAUCAUUUUUGUAUCUUUAAUGGACUCAUUGACUAUGACUUUGAACUAACGUGCUUUUCCUCGUUUGUGCCUUCGUGUUUCUGGGCUGAAUACAAUGUUGUCAGAUAGAGGUUAGUUUAUACAAUCUCUUGCUAUAGAUGAUGUUUCUUUUACUUUAUUGAUUGUUUUGUGCUUAGACACAAAAUUUUCUUAUGGAUUUGUAGCAUUUAUUUACAAUUAAUAAUGGUACCUCUGACGAAAAUUGCCAUUUUCAACAGGGUGACGCCAAGGGAUCUGUGAAGGGUGGAGAUGGAUCUACUAAAAAAGAUUGAAUUGGUUGAAAUAUACAGGUGGCUUCUUAUGGUGCAUGCAAGGUGUCUACUAAUAGUAUGAUUGUCUUUCAACCGCUUCAUUCAUUUGGAAUUUCCGUUGGCAGAUGGAUUUGUUUGGCUCCUGUAUUUAUAAAUUUAUUUUAUGUGAAGCUUGGAGUGAAAGGAGUCAGUAUCAUGUACAUUUGGGUGUGUUUCUGGAUUUCUCAGUCUGUUGUAGUAUCAAACAAUUUAGGUAGGGUUUGGUUAUUCUCACCCCUGUUUGUUUGUGAUGCAUAGAGAGGGGGGGCGGAGGUGGGGGAGGGAAGGGUGUGGUUUGAUGGGCUCCUCCCCAUUAUUAUUGUUUAAGUGCUAAUAACUGUGAUGGGCUAAAUUGCUUUUUAAGAUUGUUAUGUAACUUCUAUUCUGAUUA